GAGAAAAUACAAGAUAUGACCGCCUUGCGCAGCGCCAAGGCCGAAGCAAAGGCUGAAGAACAGGCAGAGAAGGACAUUGCAAAAGCAAGAAUGGAAGUAGCUCAUGAGAUUAGAUUAGCCAAAGAGGCUGAAGCUGCAAUGGAGUUACAUGCCGCCAAAGCUCAACAGAAGGCUUCACAAGAAAUGGCAAAACACUAACCAAACAAUUCUCAUAAUGCUUUUCCAUCCAUCAAAUUCAUUGAUGACCUGAUCCCCCUUACAGCUAGAAAGAUAGGUUCCCUGUAAUGUUCCCAUUUUUAUAAGAAAAAUGCAUUAUAUUACCU